UUCGAAGAGUUUGAUCCUGGCUCAGGAUGAACGCUGGCGGUGUGCCUAACACAUGCAAGUCGAACGGGUUUAGGCCCGUGGCAGACGGGUGAGUAAUGGUAAGGAAUGUACCCUCGAGUCGGGUAUACCCCGCCGAAAGGCGGGACAAUCCCCGAUAUCUCUCCGGAGGAAAGUUUUUCGCUCGAGGAGCAGCCUUACUCCCAUCAGCUAGUUGGUAGGGUAAUGGCCUACCAAGGCUACGACGGGUAGCUGGCGUGAGAGCGCGACCAGCCACAAUGGGACUGAGACACGGCCCAUACUCCUACGGGAGGCAGCAGUUGGGAAUAUUGGACAAUGGGCGAAAGCCUGAUCCAGCUACGCCGCGUGGGUGAUGAAGGCCUUCGGGUCGUAAAGCCCUGUCAGCAGAGACGAAACCUUAAGAUUCGAAUAGGAUCUUGAGCUGACGGUACCUGCGGAGGAAGCACCGGCUAACUCCGUGCCA
rnacentral:rRNA from 1 species